rfam:Picea glauca, whole genome shotgun sequence.
AUACCGGCCUUACUGAAGGCCAUCAAAAUAGUUUUAACUUUUGAUU